CAAUAGCGUAUAUUAAAGUUGUUGCGGUUAAAAAGCUCGUAGUUGGAUUUCUGCUGAGAACGACCGGUCCGCCCUUUGGGUGUGUAUCUGGCUCUUUCUUGGCAUCUUCUUGGUGAACGUUGCUGCACUUGACUGUGUGGAGCGCUACCCAGGACUUUUACUUUGAGGAAAUUAGAGUGUUUCAAGCAGGCAUACGCCUUGAAUACAUUAGCAUGGAAUAAUAAGAUAGGACCUCGGUUCUAUUUUGUUGGUUUCUAGAGCUGAGGUAAUGAUUAAUAGGGAUAGUUGGGGGCAUUCGUAUUUAACUGUCAGAGGUGAAAUUCUCGGAUUUGUUAAAGACGGACUACUGCGAAAGCAUUUGCCAAGGAUGUUUUCAUUGA
rnacentral:rRNA from 1 species